GAUGAAGAUGAUGGAAUGGAAGAGGUGCAAAUGGAAGAUGAUGAGGAAUUUACAAUGCAAAGGAAUUGGAGAGCACCAGAGAGACAGAUGUCAGAGGAGGGAGGUGACAACAGACCUAAGAACUCAGCAAUAAACUUUAACCUCAACAUGUCUGGACUCCGAUCUAGUAUACAACAAAGCUGCAAAACACAAUGACAUAGACACUGACAGAGACAGAUGGCGAUGAGGAGAGAACAAAAGCAUGCCCUGUAAAAGGAAGAACAAGUAAACAUACCCUGCUUUUCCAAUGCCAGCUGUAACUGAUUUUAAAAUCUUGAUAUCCAUAUCCAAAUAACAGUGUAAUUGUUGAAAUGAACAGUGCGGUGCUACUGUAUGUUGCUACAAUCUUUCACUUACAGCAUGAGACUUGUUUUUGAUGUUGAAUAGAGCAAUGGGUGAGGGGAAAAAUGAUUUGCAGUGCACACAUGUGGCAGAGCGGCAUGCGUGCCUCCUGCAACAGCUCAUGGACUGGGAGUUUACCCAUCACUUUUCCUUUCUGUAAUAGCUAUUGAUUUCUUUUCAUCUGGUCAUACAAUCGAUACUUGCAACAAUGCAAUACACAAUGAUUAUACCCACUGCUUGGAAUGCUCAGACAUAAUAAUAGCAUUAAGAAGAAGAAAAACACAUGGAGAACAGAGGUGUACCAAAAUAUACUUUGGGUUUGUAAUAUUGAUUAAUUUGACAAACAACAGUAAAACCUAUUGUUCAUAACAUAUGCUGUCCAUGGCAACAUCAUAUUGUUAGUUGUGAUGCUAUAUCUUUUUUUCAUUAUAAUGUGAAGGUCUGUCAAGCAAUUAAAAAUCUAAUUAAUUACA